AGCGUGCACAGUUUGUAACCCUGGAUAAUGAACAUGUUGGCAGACAGACAACAGGCUACCACUGAAGGUGAACUCUGUUGGGCGAAACCGUAUUCAAGACAACACAGAGGUUGUGUUUCAAAGCCCAUCUACGAGAAAACCACACAUGCCUUCAGGAAGGAAAAGUAUGUGCUGGAGUUGAGGGAUGACCCAACCUUUGUAUACACCAGGGACGAGGAACUCUUCUCAUUCGUGGUCCUCCAAGGGUGGUACUAUCACAAAUGUAAUUUCAAAGAUUUACAAACAAAACACGUCAUAUUUGAGAUUUCAUGUGAAACUGCACAUUUCAAUCAUAUCUGGGGCCGGAUUAGACAGGUUCCCCACCUUUGGAGUACACUGAACGCUACAAGACAUCCCUACUACAAAACAAUCCUCCAGUGCUGAGGCCUGACAAAAAAGUAUUUCAGUGGCUAGACAAAGCAGUCGUUUUGGUAGACAGAACUAACACCUAGUCUAACAUAUUUUUUUGUAAUGAGGUAGCUUCAUGGGCUUUUAGUGUUCCCUUUGUUGUGCUGACCGAAUGAUGGACCGCAAAGACAGACUGUGCUGUUGGUAACUGCAUUACAUUUCAAAUAAAGUCCAAAUAAAAACGG